GGGACUUCGGUCCUUGCUGCACCCUUGUCUUUUGCGUACCGUAUGUUUCCUCGGCGGGCUUGCCUGCCGGUUGGACAUUAUCAAACCUUUUUGUAGUUGCAAUCAGCGUCAGAAAAUAAACAAUAAUUACAACUUUCAACAACGGAUCUCUUGGUUCUGGCAUCGAUGAAGAACGCAGCGAAAUGCGAAAAGUAAUGUGAAUUGCAGAAUUCAGUGAAUCAUCUAAUCUUUGAACGCACAUUGCGCCCCUUGGUAUUCCAUGGGGCAUGCCUGUUCGAGCGUCAUUUUGUACCCUCAAGCACUGCUUGGUGUUGGGCGUUUGUCCUGCAAAGGACUCGCCUGAAAGCGAUUGGCGGCCAACGUACUGGUGGUAGAGCGCAGCACAAUUUGCGUCUCUCCCUUCUACGUCGGCGUCCAUGAAGCCUUUUUUCAACGUUUGACCUCGGAUCAGGUAGGGAUACCCGCUGAACUUAAGCAUAUCAAUACAGCGGAGGA
rnacentral:rRNA from 1 species